CUUGGUGGGGGCGGGGCUCCGAGGAGCUCGGUUCAGAUCCCGGCCGCCUGGGCUCUAGGAGCCCCGGAACCAGGAUAAGUCGGAUGGCUGCCGCGGCGAAGCGGGGGGCGGGGUGGACCGUGCCCGGUAUUUUCUAUACGGGUUCCGGGGCCCGGUAGAGGCGCGCCAAGAGGAAAGGAAAGUGCGGCGGCCCUGGAACCUGGAUAUCGCGCGAGGCAAGCUGCGCGCGGGCGGGCGGGCUAUGGCGCAGGCGGGUUGUGGGGCCGGCGCUGGUGGCGGGGCCCGGUGCAUGGCGGUCUGUCGGCGGAGUCGCCCUCGGGGGCUGUCAGAUUUGUGACCCAGAAGGAAAUCUCUGACCUCAGCUGUGGCUCUUGGUGCUGGCCAGAAGCCAACUUCAUGUCUGAGUGCACGAGCAGCAGUUUGCCAUGGAGAGCUUGGGGCUGCACACGGUGACCCUUAGUGAUGGGACAACAGCCUACGUCCAGCAAGCUGUCAAAGGAGAGAAGCUUCUUGAAGGGCAGGUGAUCCAGCUCGAGGAUGGGACCACCGCAUACAUUCACCAGGUGACGGUACAGAAAGAAGCUCUCUCCUUUGAGGAUGGUCAGCCUGUGCAGCUGGAAGAUGGCAGCAUGGCUUACAUACACCGCACACCCAGAGAAGGCUAUGACCCCAGCACCCUGGAAGCCGUCCAACUGGAAGAUGGCUCCACUGCCUACAUUCACCACCCUGUGGCUGUGCCAUCGGACAGCACCAUCCUGGCCGUACAGACAGAGGUGGGCUUGGAGGACCUGGCAGCAGAGGAUGAUGAGGGCUUCAGUGCAGACACAGUGGUGGCCCUGGAGCAGUAUGCCAGCAAGGUACUUCAUGACAGCCAGAUUCCCCAUAAUGGAAAAGGGCAGCAAGUUGGAGACAGAGCAUUCCGCUGUGGCUACAAGGGCUGUGGGCGUCUCUACACCACCGCUCAUCACUUAAAGGUGCAUGAACGAGCUCAUACAGGUGACCGUCCAUACAGAUGUGACUUCCCCAGCUGUGGAAAGGCCUUUGCCACAGGCUAUGGACUGAAGAGCCACGUUCGUACCCACACUGGUGAGAAACCAUACAAGUGCCCAGAGGAGCUGUGCAGCAAGGCCUUCAAGACCUCAGGAGACCUGCAGAAGCAUGUCCGUACCCACACUGGUGAACGUCCGUUCCGGUGCCCUUUUGAGGGCUGUGGCCGCUCCUUCACCACGUCUAACAUCCGCAAGGUACAUGUGCGCACCCACACAGGCGAGAGGCCCUACACCUGCCCGGAGCCCCACUGUGGCCGCGGCUUCACCAGCGCCACCAACUAUAAGAAUCACGUGCGCAUCCACACAGGGGAGAAGCCAUACGUUUGCACGGUGCCAGGCUGCGGGAAACGCUUCACCGAGUACUCGAGCUUGUAUAAGCACCACGUGGUGCACACACACUGCAAGCCCUACACCUGCAGCACCUGCGGCAAGACCUACCGGCAGACCUCCACCUUGGCCAUGCACAAGCGCAGUGCCCACGGCGAGCUGGAGGCCACGGAGGAGAGCGAGCAGGCCCUCUAUGAGCAGCAGCAACUUGAGGCCGCCUCUGCAGCAGAGGAGAGUCCGCCACCCAAACGACCCCGGAUAGCUUACCUUUCGGAGGUGAAGGAAGAGAGUGAUGACAUCCCAGCCCAGGUGGCGAUGGUGACUGAAGAAGAUGGGGCCCCCCAGGUGGCUCUGAUCACUCAGGAUGGUGCCCAGCAGGUCAGCCUGUCCCCGGAAGACCUGCAGGCCCUGGGGAGUGCCAUCAGUAUGGUCACCCAGCACGGCAGCACCACCCUCACCAUCCCCAGUCCUGAUGCCGACCUGGCCACAUCUGGCACACAUACAGUCACCAUGGUCAGCGCCGAUGGCACCCAGACGCAGCCUGUAUGACCAGGCGGUCACAAUCAUUACCUCUGGGGCUGUGGUGGCUGAGGACUCAAGUGUAGCAUCUCUUCGUCAUCAACAGGUGGCACUGUUGGCCACAGCCAACGGAACGCACAUUGCAGUGCAGCUGGAGGAACAGCAGACCUUAGAGGAGGCCAUCAGUGUGGCCACUGCGGCCAUGCAGCAAGGGGCCGUGACCCUGGAGACAACAGUGUCGGAGAGUGGCUGCUGAGUCCAAGAGGGCUGGGUCCCACACCAUGCUGGAGGAAGUGCCAUCUGCAUGGCCACUCUUGCCCCCAAGGGCCCAGGCUGUGGCUGACACAUAGAAGGUGGCCACAUAGGUCUCUGGGGUGAGAAGACAGCAAGAAAACUGCCUAACUGAAGGGAAUGGGGGCCCUGCCCAAGAGGGGGGCCAGGCAGCUGGAAUCAGGGGAGUUCAUCAUCCUCGGGAGCUGACAACAGCCAGGCUACACCAGGGCACCCGCCUCUCAAAAUCAGCUGGGCGCCCACUGUCCUCCUAAAGAACACCCUUCUGGCCCUCAGUCUGUUCCCCUUCUCAGGUAGAGAUUGGGGCUGCUAUGGGGACUGGCCCUGUAGGGUUGAGCCACAGACAGCUCUUCAGCCCAGUAGCAGUGGAGCAGGCCCUGUCCUGCCCUCCCAGCAAUAACCACCUCCCUGGAGGCCAGCUGAGAUGCCUGGCUACUUGGCACCAGGGACUUCCUGACACCACAGUCAAUUAAUUCCUCAGGGGCCUGUGGCUGGAGAAAAGGUGCCCAGCCCCCACCACUCCUCAGCUGCCCCCCAACCUCUCUAUGGCAGAGAGGCAGGGAGUGGCCCUGUACAUAGACUGCUGGGGAUUGGGUUUGAUUUGUUUUGUUUUUUUUUAAUUCCAUUUUGAUAAUUUUUUUCCUGCUCUGGGUGGUGGUGGCACAUGGAUGAAUGAGUAUUUAAUAAAAGUUCCAAAUUUC